CUCUUUUCUUAACCUACUCUUCUAUUUAAUAUUUUAAGUGUUUCUUUGGCUUGUGCCACAGGUCAGACCAGAUGAUCUAAUGGUCUCCUCUGACCUUAGUCUAUAAAUAUUGGAAAGUGCGCUAAUGUAAACAUAACUGAUCCAUGGACCAGGGCUAUGAAAGUCAGACAACCUGGCACUGUCACUGCAUCCCACUCACUCCCCGUCUGGUUUGUUAUUUUUCCUGUUCCCCAGACCCAGCUACGAUGACGAGGAAGGUUCCCUCAUUCUCUCCCGGCUCCACAAUGAGCUCCACUCUGCCCAGCUACGUCGCUCUCUGCCUCGCUCUACAGGUUCACAGGCUGGCGUCAGGUUUGGGCUCUGCUCCUGUCAUCUCUGUGGAGGGACAUCAGGACGGAGGGAUCCGGGUGGUGUGUCGAUCAGCUGGAUGGUACCCAAAGCCUGAAGCUCAGUGGAGAGAUCUCGAGGGGCAGCUCUUACCAUCAACCUCUGAAAAAAUAUCCCCAGAGGCCAAUGGCCUGUUUUGAGCAGAGAUUGCCAUUGUUCUAACAGAAGAGUCCAACCAGAAAGUGUUCUGCUGUGUCAGGACCCCGCGACUCAACCAGGAGAGAGAGUCAGAGAUUUCCUUAGCAGGUCAGUGCCCGUUUGUGCUGCACAUGGAUAGACUGAGACGUUGCAGACAUGGGCAGAGAGUAUUUAUCAUUGUGUCUCCUGUUUAUUGGCCUGAACCUUCAAUGUGUCUUGUAAAAUCCUGAAUAACCUCAAUUCUCUUUGGCUAGGUCUACACUGCAAUUCAAACCCCGCUGGUGACCCAGGCCAGCUGGCUCAGGCUAAGGGCCUCAGGCUAAGGGCCUGUUAAAUUGUGGAAUAGAUCUCUGAGCUUGGGCUGGACCCUGCUACGUGCACUAAGAAUUCCAUGCUGUGCUUUGAUCUACCCCACUUUAAAAUGGGAACAGAUCAAAGCACCAGGGAACUUUUAGUGCACUGCAGUAGGGUGCACACAGCCAGUCAGUGAGCAGCUGGCCAGUGCACAGUGGAUUUACACUCCAGCCUGCCGCGCACUAACUGUGCCUAUAGACGAGCCACCGUAGAGCAAGGUGGGUGAGUUGUGGCUGCUGCCUUAGGGAGACGCCUCCCUCUCUGUUCUGAGGUUCUUGUGUGUUCAGGUCCUGGAUUAUAAGAGAUAAAGUCAUGAUACACUGCAGCCUUCCAGCAGGAGUGUUUAUGCUUGUAUCUCAUUUUGUGUGUGUGUGCGUGCUGUGAACAUCACAAUUCUCUGUGGGGGUGAGAAUUCUCCUUUGUUCUCAGUGAGAGUUGUGGGUGCUGAGUAUUUAUGAAAAUCUGGGUAAUAAAGUCACUUUUCCUGACUAGCA
rnacentral:lncRNA from 1 species